AUGAUUGAUUGCUCAUGUUCGGAAUGUUCAGAAGAUUUGAAGGAGAACUUAGAGAAAACAUGAUUGAUUGUUCAUGUUCGAAAUGUGAGGAAGAUUUGAAGGAGAACUUAGGUGAGUUUUGUCAAUCCCUUGAAUAAUUUUCUAACUUAUCAGCUACACUCAAAACAAUGUCAACAAUGUUAUGAAGAAUGAUAUGUUGCUGAUUGGAAAAUGGUGUAUGUAUUGGUGCAAGUCAAGUAUAAUUUUUAAUUUAGUUUUAUAUGUAUAGUCCCAUUCAAUUUUUUUUUACAUAAUUGUUAUAUAUUAUUACUGUAAUUUUUAUUAAAUAUAUGACUAAUCUUU